GCCGAGAUAGCUCAGAUGGUAGAGCAUGGGACUGAAAAUCCCCGUGUCACCAGUUCAAUCCUGGUUCUCGGCA
rfam:Klebsormidium nitens chloroplast DNA, contig: KFL_3730.